rnacentral:rRNA from 1 species
GUCGAACGGGUGCAGCAAUGCAUCAGUGGCAGACGGGUGAGUAACACGUGGGAACCUUCCUCGGGGUACGGAACAACGCAGGGAAACUUGCGCUAAUACCGUAUACGUCCGUGAGGAGAAAGAUUUAUCGCCCUGAGACGGGCCCGCGUCGGAUUAGCUAGUUGGUGGGGUAACGGCCUACCAAGGCGACGAUCCGUAGCUGAUCUUAGAGGAUGAUCAGCCACACUGGGACUGAGACACGGCCCAGACUCCUACGGGAGGCAGCAGUGGGGAAUCUUGGACAAUGGGCGCAAGCCUGAUCCAGCCAUGCCGCGUGAGUGAAGAAGGUCUUCGGAUUGUAAAGCUCUUUUGCCAGGGACGAUAAUGACGGUACCUGGAGAAUAAGCCCCGGCAAACUUCGUGCCAGCAGCCGCGGUAAUACGAAGGGGGCUAGCGUUGUUCGGAAUUACUGGGCGUAAAGCGCACGUAGGCGGGUCGUUAAGUCAGGGGUGAAAUCCCGGAGCUCAACUCCGGAACUGCCUUUGAUACUGGCGAUCUCGAGAUCGGAAGAGGUGAGUGGAAUUCCCAGUGUAGAGGUGAAAUUCGUAGAUAUUGGGAAGAACACCGGUGGCGAAGGCGGCUCACUGGUCCGAUACUGACGCUGAGGUG